rnacentral:rRNA from 1 species
GUACACGCUGUGACUAGCAUAUCAAUAAGCGGAGGAAAAGGGAAUCGGUCGCCCCAGUACCUACGCUUAGGAUGUUGAGACACGCGCGUGCUCGACUCUAUACAUGACUCUGUGCAUAUCAAUAAGCGGAGGAAAAGAAACUAACAAGGAUUCCCUCAGUAACGGCGAGUGAAGCGGGAAGAGCUCAAAUUUGAAAUCUUGAAAGGUCACCUUUCACGAAUUGUAGUUUAAAGAAGUGUUUUCUGUUACGAUCGUAAUAUAAGUUCUUUGGAAUAGGACAUCACAGAGGGUGAGAAUCCCGUCUAUGAUUGCGAUUUGUAGCUUUGUGAUACACUUUCAAAGAGUCGGGUUGUUUGGGAAUGCAGCCCAAAACGGGAGGUAAAUUUCUUCUAAGGCUAAAUAUUGGCGAGAGGACCGAUAGCGAACAAGUACCGUGAGGGAAAGAUGAAAAGAACUUUGAAAAGAGAGUUAAAUAGUACGUGAAAUUGUCAAAAGGGAAGCGUUUAACACCAGUGUUGUUUUCUGAAAAUCAACCUCUGUUAGCUUUAUGCAUGUUUGUUUAGACCUAAUCAGCUAUCUUUCAUGUUCUAUUGUUUGCAGUGGUGCACUUUUCAGUUUACAGGUCAACAUCAGUUUUUUUUACCGUAAAAAAGUUAAAGAAAGGUAGCUCAUGGCUCCGGUCGUGAGUGUUAUAGUCUUUUUCCUAUGCGGUAGGAGAGACUGAGGUCUGCAGUGUAGGCUAUUUGGCUAGAUACUCAGGUGCUAUGUGAUACCAUUUCAUAUAACAACUUGUUGAUUAUGUUUUGUCUAUUGCAUACUCGCUUGUACUAGUCAUACCUACGCUUAGGAUGUUGAGUAGCGACAUACGCAC